AGUUUUGAGCUAAAUAUAUUUAUAAUAUUAGUUAUUUAUGAAGGUGUUGUAAAAUCUUUAUUCAAAAUUAUAUUUAGGGGUGAUAGGCCUUUCAAAAACUAAGAUAUCUUGAAUCUAAUUAAAAGUAUGUAGUACAAUUAACACAACUAUUAAGUGAUUAGGCUUUAUAGAAUUAUUAACUUAUAAGAUUUUAUUUACUAUAAUUUAAUAAUUAAGUACAUAAAUAUAUUAAUAUUCAUAUAUUAUAGUUUAUAAAAGAGUAAUUAGAUAGAUUUAAGUUCAUAUUUCUUAUAAUAAUGUUAAUAUUAGUAUUAAGUUUAUAUUUAUAUGAUGAACUCGGCAAAAAUACUUCUCAACUGUUUAUCAAAAACAUAACUAUGUGAAUGAAUACAUAGCGGUUUCUGCUCAA
rnacentral:rRNA from 1 species